rnacentral:piRNA from 1 species
AUUGCACAGACAUUCAGAGUGAG